AUGGAGGUGAGGACACUUUCCCCAUAUGAUCGACGCUGAUUCAAACUGUGCUGUUUAUUCGUCUUCAAUUAUUUGGAGAUUUUAAAGCCAGAAUUCUGAUCCUU